UGGGGAAUAUUGCACAAUGGGCGCAAGCCUGAUGCAGCCAUGCCGCGUGUAUGAAGAAGGCCUUCGGGUUGUAAAGUACUUUCAGCGGGGAGGAAGGGAGUAAAGUUAAUACCUUUGCUCAUUGACGUUACCCGCAGAAGAAGCACCGGCUAACUCCGUGCCAGCAGCCGCGGUAAUACGGAGGGUGCAAGCGUUAAUCGGAAUUACUGGGCGUAAAGCGCACGCAGGCGGUUUGUUAAGUCAGAUGUGAAAUCCCCGGACUCAACCUGGGAACUGCAUCUGAUACUGGCAAGCUUGAGUCUCGUAGAGGGGGGUAGAAUUCCAGGUGUAGCGGUGAAAUGCGUAGAGAUCUGGAGGAAUACCGGUGGCGAAGGCGGCCCCCUGGACGAAGACUGACGCUCAGGUGCGAAAGCGUGGGGAGCAAACA
rnacentral:rRNA from 1 species